AUGCCUUGGCCGGAGAGGAGGAAAGGUCACGCCCCCUCUCAAUUCCAGGCCCCGCCCCAGCCCCACCCCCCGUCCUGUUAUUUCCCAGGCCUCGCCCCCUCUCCGGCCUUUAGCGUCCGGUCCCGCCGGUGGACCACGACCCACCACAUCCCCAGCUGCGGGCCACGCCCCAUCAAGUGGCCCCGCCCCGACCCCGCCUACCUCAGGCCCUACCUCGCCAGGGCUCCGCCCAAUGCUUUCUGCCUCUGCAGGUCCAGGCUUCUGUGCGGUGGUAUGAUUAUAGCUCACUGCAGCCUCAAACUCCUGGCCUCAAGUGAUCCUCCCACCUUGGCCUCCCGAAGUGCUGGGACUCCAGGCAUGAGCUACUGCACCUGGCUCCAGAAUUUCUCAAUCAGCAAUCUGCACUUGCUGAACCUGCUCCUUCCCACGCGUGUUUGCUCCCCCACGCCCUGUCUCUGCUGAAAUUGCCCACAACCAAGUCACCACCGAGCUCUGGGCUGACUGACCACACCACGGACGGCUUGGGAACCUCUGUGACCUGCACGUACACUCCAGAUGAGUCCCUGGAACUAGAAUGUCUGAAGUUACCGGAAAACCACAAAAGGAGAGGAAAUGAUCAACCUCUGGGGUGACUAAUUAACUCUGAGACAUUCUUCUUUUGUUCCUUACUCCCACCUCAACUGAUAAGGAAAUUGGACUUUGUUAGUGACUUUGGGCAACCUCGUGACUCCAGACCCCGUGACCCCCUCCCAGCUUGCAAAAACCGCUCUGAAAUGUAACUUUUAUAACUUUCCACUGCCUACCCCAAACCUAUAAAACCAAUUCCUAUCCCACUGCCCUCCGCUGACUCUUUUCAGACUCAGCCCACCUGAACCCAGGUGAAUAAACAGCCAUGUUGCUCAUACA
rnacentral:lncRNA from 13 species